GGUGGCUUAGUGGUUAGAGCGCCCGCCUCGGAUGUGAGAGGUCGUGGGUUCAACCCUUGGUCGAGUCAUACCAUAGACU